CAUGUACUCCCUCCGUUCGGAGUUACUUGUCUCGGAAAUGGAUGUAUCUAGAACUAAAAUACGUCUAGAUACAUCCAUUUUCGCGACAAGUAAUUCCGAACGGAGGGAGUAGUUC
rnacentral:pre_miRNA from 1 species